CAGGCGGAGAAGGAAGGAGGAAGAGCGGAGGCCAGGGCGGGCUCUAGGCCGUGGAAUCUGGGGCCUUAAAGCCCCUUCGUCUCCCCGGCACCCACUCUCUGGGGGCAGGCGGGCCUGCUGACAGCAGUGACCUUCAGGGACCCCUGAAGACCAUGGAGGACUACUGACCAACAACCUCUGACCUUCACCCCUCUGGAUGGGGGGACGAAUCACUAGGCAAAGGGGAACAAUGGGAAGAAGACAAAAUGGCUGCCUUUACGGCUGCAGCGAGAGUUGGAAACACUGGUUCCCUAGGCACCUCCAUUGUCUUCCCGCUUUGGGAACAUGAAAUAAAGUGUGAAUGGGAACAUGAGGAAGACUGACCCAGGUCACUUGACCUGUCUUUUGUCUAAUUGUUGAUCUCAGCCUCCCAGCAACUCAGGAUUGGGGCUGCGACGUCUGCUUUGUCCUUCGAUACUCAACCCUAAGCAGAGAAAAACAUCUUAAAAAUCGAAGCUAAUUAACCCAGUCCCUCUGUUCAGAUCCACCUGCUGCCCUAUCUGCAUUUGGCAGUUCCUGUACAUACUUUGCCCCCAUGUUUUGUCUGAGUUCUACAUCUUCCUUGUCUCCCCGCAGGGAUGGGAAAUGGGCAGUAGUGGGAGAUUCAGGUAUAAACAGUGGCUUUGUUUCUCUGGUGCCUGAGAUUCAGGAAGGCCUGUCUUGGGAAGAUAAGUGUCAGCUUAUCUGUGGACUGAACAGACAGGCACCUGUUCCGUUGGCCCCAGAGCUGUGGGAAAGCCCACCUCCACAGGGGGGCCCUGUUAGCGAGCAGCUCCUCACGCCUGGUGACUGAGAAAUAGAGUGUGGGUGGCCUAUAGCAGGCCGUGCAAUCCACCGGGCUUCUGGGCACAGAAGUGCCUCAACAGGCACAGGCAGGCUCCCCACAGCCACAAGGAACCCUGCAACCAAGGAAGCAGCUCUGUUGGGGUCAUCAGAUUUUAAAUCUGGCUCAGCAAAGCCAUGGCUGCCCAGCCUUAAAAAAACAGGUGGUGUGGGAGAAAUGGAGGGUGGGGUGAAGAGCACAGCUGGGCCUCCAGAACUCAGGGCCAGCCUUCCCAGUUUGGGUCCUGUUUUGGAGCCCAGGCCCAGCUUCCCCGUAGCUGCCCCAGCCAGAUUUGUUUGCGCCCCCUGCUGGCAGACACAAAGACAGACUCAGGAGCGCAUAUGUGAACGUGCGCAUGCGUGCUGCCCGUUAUCCAGUUCGUGAACACGUGAAGCGUGAAGCCUUGACUUCAGGUUAAGUAAUAAAAAUUUAUUGAGA